UCCUUUUUGUGGCUGAAUAAUACUCCAUUGUUUGUAUAUACUACACUCCAUUCAUCCAUUCAUCUGUUGAUAGACGUUUGGGUGGUUUCUGCCUUUUGGCUGCCGUGAAUAGUAUUGCCAUGCAUAUUCCUGUACAGGUAUUUGAGUACCUCUUUUCAGUUCUUUUGGAUAUAUACCCAGGUGUGGGGUUGCUCAGUCAUCUGGUAAUUCUGUGUGUAACCAUUUGAGGAGUCUUUUUUGAUUCUUGACACUGCAUUUCAAGGAGAUAUUAUCCAACUUUUAUAGGAAAGAAGGUGUGAGCUCUGAUUGAUAGGACUCAUUUCUUCAAAGUCACCCAAUGCUGUGGUCUGAAUGUUUUGUGUCCCCUCCAAAAUUUGUACAUUCAUAUCUUGAAAUCCUAAUGCCCAAUGUGAUGGUGUUAGGAGGUGGGGCCAUUGGGAGGUGAGCCCUUAUGUAUAGGAUUAGUGCCCUUUUAAAAGCAGGUCCAGCAAGAUCCCUAGCCCUAUAGCCAAGUGAGGACAAAAUAAGAAGUCUGUGACCUGGAAGAGGGCUCUCACCCAACCCUGCUGGCACCUUGAUCUCAGACUUACAGGCUCCAGAACUGUGAGAAAUCAACUUCUUUUUUUAUCAGCCAUCCAGUCUUUGGUAUUUCGUUAUAGCAUCCCGAGUGGCCCAAGACCUCCAGCCAGAGAGCAGUACAGCUGGAAGUCACAGCACCUCACAUGCCCACUCUUCCAUCUCAUCCUCCCCAAAAUACCUGAGGUAGAUGGUUGCCGUUUUCAGAUGAAGAAACAGUCCCAUAAGUUAAGUGACUUGCUGAGGAUACAAGUAAUUUCAGGAGAUGUUUUCAUUCCAUUUAGAAACCAGACCUUAUCAUUGAUUAUUUAGAUGUGUUUCUUUUCCUUUCCUUAGGCCUUGCAAUCUGGUGACAUGCCAAGAGAAUGCAAUGGGAUCAGAUCCCUAUGUUGAAACCCUAAGCCCCAAUGUGGCUGAAGAUGGAGCCUCUAAAGAAGUUUUCCCGUGCAAUAGAAAAAGUAAUAUGAUAGCUGUUAAUGGGUUGACUCCAAUAAAAGAACUUUGCAAAGAGUUAAGUGGUGCUAACUUUAUAUCCAUGUCCUGAGAUGCUUCAAAUAGAAAAUUAGUUAAUUUCUGUAAUGGUUUGAAUUUUUUACCCAAAUUAUUGGAAACUAAAUAAAUUUGGAAAUUUAUUUUAAUGAAGGUGAAUCAUAUGAUAUUAUGGUGACUCUUGUUGUAAAUUAAGUUCAAAAGUUCAACAUUAAAAAUAAAAUGAUUUGUCUUAACAUCGUAAGAGAAAUACAAUUUUUGGUGCCACACAAUGUCAAGGUAAAACAAUAUUUUUACUACCUUAUGAAACCAUGGAGCAAAUUUUUUACUCAGAAUUGUUUGAUUGUAUACAUGAUUCAAAAUCGCAUCCAAAU